GAUGAAGAACGUAGCAAAAUGCGAUAAGUAAUGUUAAUUGCAGAAUUCAGUGAAUCAUCGAAUCUUUGAACGCACAUUGCGCCCGCCAGUAUUCUGGCGGGCAUGCCUGUUCGAGCGUCAUUUCAACCCUCAAGCACAGCUUGGUGUUGGGACUCGCGUUAAUUCGCGUUCCUCAAAUUGAUUGGCGGUCACGUCGAGCUUCCAUAGCGUAGUAGUAAAACCCUCGUUACUGGUAAUCGUCGCGGCCACGCCGUUAAACCCCAACUUCUGAAUGUUGACCUCGGAUCAGGUAGGAAUACCCGCUGAACUUAAGCAUAUCAAUAAGCGGAGGA
rnacentral:misc_RNA from 1 species